UACAGAGGGUGCGAGCGUUAAUCGGAAUUACUGGGCGUAAAGCGUGCGUAGACGGUCAUGUAAGUCGGAUGUGAAAGCCCCGGGCUCAACCUGGGAAUUGCAUUCGAGACUGCAUGGCUUGGGUGCGGAAGAGGGAAGCGGAAUUUCCGGUGUAGCGGUGAAAUGCGCAGAUAUCAGGAGGAACACCGGUGGCGAAGGCGGGUCUCUGGGCCGUAACUGACGCUGAGGAGCGAAAGCGUGGGGAGCGAACAGG
rnacentral:rRNA from 1 species